AUCGAUGAUGAGUAUGCGUGGGGCAUCUGAAUAAUAUUUUGAUUAAACCCCGUCUGUAACUCUGAGGUCCUUUGCAUCUUUGGGAAAUGUGCUUACAGAGGAAGUCAGAAAUAUUCAAGGACUGUGUUCUUGACCUUUCGUUGCUCAUGAAUAUGGAUUGUGUUAUUAUAAGUAAAUCAAUGCAUGAAUAAAUCACGGAUAAAGAGGAGGGCUACACCUCACCCAAUUAUGAAAGGAGCUAAUGAGCCAAGAAUUACUGUUAAUAUAUUUCUGAAAAUUGGAGUUCAAUAAAAGAGACUGAGGCUGCUCCUCCUUUGGGAGCGUCUGGAUAUGCACGUGUGAACCUCAGUGCGGUUCUCAGUGGGUGUGGUGACGAUGGUGGCCAUGGCUUCCGUGGGUAAAUCGAGGAACAAAAAGGAUGCUGUUCUUGGGUCAGUGAUGACAGUGAGACUUGACUCGACUUCAUGAUUAACCUAGCACCUCCAACUGAUGUCCUUUAAGUCAGUCUGGACCCUUUGUCCUUCUGAACGUUGCUCCACAGAAUGAAGGUCACGGCUGAUUGCAUCCGUCUGUUCUGAGGAAGAUCUUGGCUGUUACCUUUCUGGAAUGGAUGUGCAAUGAUUCAAUUAAAGACUAUAGAACUUACAGUGGGUGCUCCAGGUCAAUGUAAGCAUCUUCAAGAGUCCUGCUCUCUCUGGCCGCCUCAACGUGUCCGGAACAUGGAGACUGAUAAUCAACGCCUCAGCUGAUUUCAGCUUCUGCCACGAUCAAGACUGUCCUGUUGCCUCCGUUUUGUAAAAGACCAAGACUGGACUCAGCGAGAUGACUGGAAAAUUCUCUCAUGGUCACGUUCUCCGUAUAGAGACCAGAAACACUGAACUCACCCAAGCCACCACGUUCAGGACGUCAAGGCAGCAUCUCUGUCCAGAACCAUCAAGUCCAAUGGUGGAUGCUCUCAAGCGGGUGCAGACAUUGCCCGUGGCUUCUCCUGUGUGUGAAGAGCUAGCGAGGAAGAUAUUCCACUGUGCGGUUAAAAAUGAAAUAGAGUUACUGCUGGUAGUUAAGGAAUGAAUCGAUGCACGUAUGCAGAUAAGCAUGAAGACCAAGAGGCCCAUACGUGGACCAAGGAUGAUGACUGAUGGCGCAUGCGUCAUGGAUGAUAAAUACCACGUGUCUGAAACGCUGAGGUCCGAUAAAAAGAACUGUAAUCUGUCACCUCUACUUGAUAUGCUAUUAUAGAUGAGUGUUAGGAAAAUAAAAGAUCGAUUUUC
rnacentral:lncRNA from 1 species